rnacentral:rRNA from 1 species
CCUACGGGAGGCAGCAGUGGGGGAUAUUGCACAAUGGGGGGAACCCUGAUGCAGCGACGCCGCGUGGGUGAAGGAGUGCUUCGGCAUGUAAAGCCCUAUCGGCAGGGAAGAAGCAAGACGGUACCUGACUAAGAAGCCCCGGCUAAAUACGUGCCAGCAGCAGCGGUAAUACGUAGGGGGCGAGCGGUAUCCGGAUUCACUGGGUGGAAAGGGAGCGUAGACGGCCAAGCAAGCCAGGGGUGAAAGCCCGGGGCCCAACCCCGGGUCUGGCCAUGGGACUGCAUGGCUGGAGUGCGGGAGGGGGAGGCGGAAUUCCUGGUGUAGCAGUGAAAUGCGUAGAUAUCAGGAAGAACACCGACGGCGAAGGCAGCCUGCUGGGCCGCGACUGACGUUGAGGCUCGAAAGCGUGGGGAGCGAACAGGAUUAGAUACCCCAGUAGUC